AGUGAACGCUGGCGGUAGGCCUAACACAUGCAAGUCGAACGGCAGCACAGUAAGAGCUUGCUCUUACGGGUGGCGAGUGGCGGACGGGUGAGGAAUACAUCGGAAUCUACUUUUUCGUGGGGGAUAACGUAGGGAAACUUACGCUAAUACCGCAUACGACCUACGGGUGAAAGCAGGGGAUCUUCGGACCUUGCGCGAUUGAAUGAGCCGAUGUCGGAUUAGCUAGUUGGCGGGGUAAAGGCCCACCAAGGCGACGAUCCGUAGCUGGUCUGAGAGGAUGAUCAGCCCACCUGGAAAUGGGACAGGGCCCAAAACCCCACGGGAGGCAGGGGGGGGAAAUUUGGGAAAAGGGGCGAAAGCCUGUCCCAGCCAACCCGGGGGGGUGAAGAAGGCCUUCGGGUUGUAAAGCCCUUUUUUGGGGAAAAAAAAGAAGCAGGUUAAUACCCCGCUGUUCGGACGGGACCAAAAAAAUAAGCCCCGGUCAAUUUCGG
rnacentral:rRNA from 1 species